GUGAAAGGAAGUGGACCUCUUAAGACAGCCGGGAGGUUGGCUUAGAAGCAGCCAUCCUUAAAAGAGUGCGUAACAGCUCACCGGUAGAAGAGGACUGCGCCGAAAAUGUAACGGAGCUAAAGCCGCGCACCGAAGCUACGGUAUAGCCGAAAGGCUAUAGGUAGGGGAGCGAUGUGCGAGGGAGAAGCAUAACUGAAAGGUUAUGUGGACGAAGCACAAGAGAGAAUGCAGGCAUGAGUAACGAAAUGGGAGUGAGAAUCUCCCACCCCUAAAGUCUAAGGGUACCUGGGGAAGGGUCGUCCGCCCAGGGUAAGUCGGGACCUAAGGUAAACCCGAAAGGGGUAGCCGAUGGAAAACGGGUAAAGAAUCCCGUACCGGUAAAAGAGGAGCUACAAGGGGGGACACAGGAGGUAAAGCUACCGAGACAGGGUUGCAAAUCUUCCAAGCGACGAUGCCGAAGAAGCUGGUAGGAAAACCCGCCGGUGGAGGAGGAGUCGUGAUGGGGAGGCCGCAAGGCCAACGGUAGAUAAUCACACUGUCGAGAAAAGCCUCGUGUAGCUAAGAUCCUUUUACUGCCCGUUCUGGAAACCGACACAGGUAGACGAGCUGAGAAGGCAAAGGGGAGCGGAAUAACCUUCGUUAAGGAACUAGGCAAAAUGGCCCCGUAACUUCGGGAGAAGGGGUGGACUAUUAGUGUGAGCAAUCAUGCUAAUAGAGCCGCAGUGACAAGUCCCUAGCGACUGUUUACCAAAAACACAGGUCUCUGCGAACACGGAAGUGGAAGUAUAGGGACUGACGCCUGCCCAGUGCCGGAAGGUUAAGGGGAGGGGUGCGAGCCUCGAACUGAAGCCCCGGUAAACGGCGGCCGUAACUAUAACGGUCCUAAGGUAGCGAAAUUCCUUGUCGGGUAAGUUCCGACCUGCAUGAAUGGCGUAACGACUAGGGAGCUGUCUUAACGGAGGAUCCGGUGAAAUUACAAGCUCGGUGAAGACGCCGAGGACCCGCAGCUAGACGGAAAGACCCCGUGGAGUUUUACUGUAACCUGACAUUGUAACUUAUCGUUGUAUGUACAGGAUAGGCGGGAGGCGGAGAAAGCUGCUCGCCAGGGCAGCUGGAGCCGACAGUGGGAUACCGCUCUUACAACGAUGGGUUACUAACGGGAGAAAGUGAAGAGCUUGACCUGGACAGUGUUAGGAGGGCAGUUUAACUGGGGCGGUUGCCUCCCAAAAGGUAACGGAGGUGUUCGAAGGUAGGCUCAAGUGGGUUGGGAAUCCACUGAAGAGUGCAAAGGCAAAAGCCUGCUUAACUGAGAGACUGACGAGUCGAACAGGAGGGAAACCUGGACUUAGUGACCCGGCGGUUCUGAGAGGAAGGGCCGUCGAUCAACGGAUAAAAGUUACCCCGGGGAUAACAGACUAAUCACGCCCGAGAGUUCACAUCGACGGCGUGGAUUGGCACCUCGAUGUCGGCUCAUCGCAACCUGGGGCUGAAGCCGGUCCCAAGGGUUGGGCUGUUCGCCCAUUAAAGCGGUACGUGAGCUGGGUUCAGAACGUCGUAAGACAGUUCGGUCCCUAUCUGCUGCGGGGGUAGGAAGCUUGAAGGGGGUUGCUCCUAGUACGAGAGGACCGGAGUGAGUAUGUCCCUGGUGAAUCAGCUGUUAUGCAAAUAGCAGGAGCUGAGUAGCUACACAUAUAACCGAUAACCGCUGAAAGCAUCUAAGCGGGAAACGGGCCCAAACAAUAGGCUUCCCACUCUUAGGAGGUAAGGGCAGUCUGAGAAGAAGACGUAGAUAGGCCGCAGGUGUAAGUACUGAGAAGUAUUGAGCCGAGCGGUACUAAUAGCCCGAGGCUUUG
rnacentral:rRNA from 1 species